UACGUAGGUGGCAAGCGUUGUCCGGAUUUACUGGGCGUAAAGCGCGUGUAGGCGGCCCGGCACGUCCGUCGCUGAAAUCCCCCGGCUCAACCGGGGAAGGGGCGCGGAUACGACCGGGCUGGAGGGGGGUAGGGGGAUCGGGAACUUCCGGUGGAGCGGUGAAAUGCGUAGAUAUCGGGAGGAACACCUGUGGCGAAAGCGGCGCACUGGACCACAACUGACGCUGAGGCGCGAAAGCUAGGGGAGCAAACAGG
rnacentral:rRNA from 1 species